CGCUGCUGCUGCUGCUGCAGUGGUCUCUAUCAUCCGAUAAUAUGUAUAGCUCCAGAAACACUACUGCUAUGGUUAGAAUCGCUAAUGGCUACACCGAGAACAGUGAAACAACAAGGUGCCAAUUCCGCUAGUACUAGCAUUACUAUUGAGUAAGUGAUCGCCUAUGGCAGUUGCCUAACUGUGCUUCUGUUUGUUUAUGCUGCGUCUUCUCCGAUCGCCACCCGCCCGUCAGACCGACCGCCCGCGUGUCUGUUUCCCUGUCGCCACCGCCAUCGGAUCGGGCGUAGGUUCCCCCUUUUCCUUGCCGCCCUUGCUAUGGCAGGGUAACUGUUUGCAACUAACGACGAUAACGGCCGGACAAAAAGUAACCAGCAACGUCCAAACAGACUAUAAAGAUCCCGCUGGUGCCUUUUUUGUUGUUGUUGUUGUUGUCGUCGUCUGCCUGCGUGCGUGCGCCGGCUGCUGUUGCAGGGUUAUGACGGUGUGAUGGUGCUCGUGGCACUGGUAGAGUCUGUCUUAUUGUAGUGAUUGUGAGAGUAGAAGUGUUCUCUGGGUGGGGGGGGGUAACAAAGAUAGAAGUGUUGCUGCUCGUGCUGUUGUGGUUCGUUUGUAAUGGCUGGUAUAAAACAUGAGGUUGGAGCCUGAGUGUGAACUGGCGCCAGCGCCUCCGCUGCUGCCGUUGUCUCUGCUAUCUUUUGCGGUCAACUGGCGCCGUUACAGCUCAUGAAUAUAGCAAGACCAGCAAAAACAA